AAAACUUUCUACAUACCAUAAAGGCACCAGAUCCCAUCUGACUUUCAAACCUAAGCAGGGCCAGCUGUGGUUAGUACUUGGGUGGUGGACCACCAAAGAAUACAGAGGAAGGAAUUG
rnacentral:rRNA from 1 species